UUUUUUUUUUUUUUUUUUUUUGGUCUUUUUAGGGCCAUACCCGCAACAUACGGAGGUUCCCAGGCUAGGGGCUGAAUUAGAGCUGUAGCCACUGGCCUAUGCCACAGCUACAUACUGUCUGAUCUGAGCCGCAUCUGCAACAUAUACUGCAGCUCACAGCAAUGCUGGAUCCUCAACUCACUGAGCGAGGCCAGGGAUCGAACCUGCAUCCUCAUGGUUCCUAGUCGGAUUCGUUUCUGCUGAGCCACGAUGGGAACUCCCCAUAAUAAUUUUUGAUUUGCUUAAGUUGACACUCAAAUUUUGGGCAGUCACAUUAGAAGUCUAGGAACACAGAGAUGGGAGCCAGGUUCCAGAGCUUCCAGCCUAAAGGAGAAGUGAGGGCAAAGGAGAGCAGUGGACUUGUAUACCGUACUGCACUCAAGUUAUUGCUAAAGGAUGGUGAAAGGACUGCUUUGUUGCAGUUCUGACUUUGUCCUAAAAUUCAUAUUCAGUAGCUUUUAUUUGCGCAUAAUGUGUGUUGUUGUUUUGGCAAGUCCCCAGAUUAUAUUUAAGAUACACUUGACACGUGAUUUCAGUCAGCAGUCAGUUAUUUACCAAGCAAUAACGAUUCAGUGGAGAACAAGAUAGACAAGUUCCUUGCCCUGUUGGGACUUAAAUCUGCUUACUAAUUAUUAUGUAUUAAUGUUAUGUAUUAAAGUACAUUUGAGUAUAGUCAAAUGUAUUAAAGUACAUUUGAGUACUUCUUUGUGGGAAAUCUUCUUGGCUUUAUCCUAGUCUUAAAAUCCUAAACUCAGGAGUUCCCAUUGACUAGUAUCCAUGAGGAUAUGGGUUUGAUCAGUGGCCUCACUCAGUGGGUUAAGGAUCCAGCAUUGCUGCAAGUUGCAGUUUUAGGUCAAAGACUCAGCUCAGAUCUGGCAUUGCUGUGGCUGUGGCAUUAGAAUGGCAGCUGCAGCCCAAUUCAACCCCUAGCCGAGAAACUUAAAUAUGCUGCAGGUGCAGCUCUAAAAAGGAAAGGGAAAAAAAUCCUGAACUGUCAAGAACCUUCUAGAUUGCUUCUACUAAAUGAGGUUGGGCACACUAUGUAAAAGAACAGCAUAACUUUGGUAAGGGGGAACAGAAGCAACAUAGCUUUGAUCAGGCUUUUGCUAUAAAGGUCACUACCUGGUUACUGCAGAAAAUCAUGUGUUAAUCCUUAUUAUCAAAUUGUACUUGGUAAGUGGGUGGAUAGUACUAAUUAUAGACCCACAUCCUUAAGAAAAGUUAAGCACUGGAGUUCCUGUCGUGGUGCAGUGGUUAACGAAUCCGACUAGGAACCAUGAGGUUGCGGGUUCGGUCCCUGCCCUUGCUCAGUGGGUUAACGAUCCGGCGUUGCCGUGAGCUGUGGUGUAGGUUGCAGAUGCGGUUCGGAUCCCCCAUUGCUGUGGCUCUGGCAUAGGCUGGUGGCUACAGCUCCAAUUCGACCCCUAGCCUGGGAACCUCCAUAUGCCGCAGGAGUGGCCCUAGAAAAGGCAAAAAGACAAAAAGAAAAAAAAGAAAAUAUACCAUUCAGUGGGUUUUAGUAUAUUCAUAAAGUUGUGCACCCAUUACCAGUAUCUAAUUUGAGAACAGUUUCAUUACUUUUGAGACCCCAUACCCUUUAGCAGUCACUCCGCUUUCCUUCCUUCCUAUAACUCUUGGUAAUCACCUGUUUAUUUUCUGUCCGUGUUGAUUGGCUUCUUAUGGCCAUUAUAUACAAAUAGAAUCAAAUAAUAUAGACCUUUUGUGUUUGGCUUCUUUCACUUAGCAUAAUGUUUUCAAGGUUCAUCCAUGUUAUGGCAUGUAUUUGAACUUUAUUCUUUUUUAUGGCUGAAUAAUAUUUCAUUGUGUGGAAUAGACCACAUUUAGUUUAUCUAUUCAUCACUUGGUAGACAUUUGGGAGCUAUUGUGAAUAAUGCUGGUAUGAAAAUUAGAGUGUAAGGUUUUGUUAUUUUGGUGGUUUUUUUGGUCUUUCGUCUUUUUAGGGCUGCAUCCUCAGCAUAUGGAGGUUCCCAGGCUAGGGGUCAAAACCAGAGCUGAAGCCACCGGCCUACAUCACAGCCACAGCAAUGUGGGAUCUGAGCCGAGUCUGCAACCUACACCACAGCUCAUGGCAACGCUGGAUCCUUAACCCACUGAGUGGGGCCAGGGAUCCAACCGAAUCCUCAUGGAUGCUAGUCGGGUUCGAUGACCACUGAGGCAUGACAGGAACUCCUGGAGUGCAAGUUUUUAUGUGGGGUAUAUGGUUUCAGUUUUCUUGAGUAUAUGGCUAGGAGUGGAAUUAGUAUAGAAUCAUUAUUUAUUUAUUUUGGUUUUUAGGGCUGAACCUGCUUAUGGACAUUCCCAGGGUAGGCAGGUAGAACCUGCAUCCUCAUGGAUACUAGUUGGGUUUGUUUCCCACUGAGCCACAAUGGGAACUUCUUUAGUUGAUAAAGCAAAGAAUUUUCAUUUCAAAGCAGAGAGUUCUUGGAGUUCCUGCAGAGGCGCAACAGUAUUGUCAGCGUCUUGGGAGUGAUGGGACUCAGGUUUGAUCCCCUGCCCGGUACAGUGGGUUGGGGAUCCGGCAUUGCCAAGGCUGCAACUUGGAUCAGAUCCCUGGCCCAGGAGCUCCAUAUGCUGCAGGGCGGCCAAACAAAACAAAAGCAAAGAGUUCUCAUGGUGAGGGAACUAAAAGGGUCUCAUUUGGGGAUGUUCCCUUCUAUAUUGGUUCCUUAAGAUCAAAAAUCUUUGCACUGGACCUCACAGAAGACUGCUUCCUGAGGUGCUUGGCACAUUAGAAAAACCAACAAAACCCAGAGCCUUUUCUGAGAGGAUCAGAAACAAUACAAAUGCCCACACAUAAUGAAGGAUGUUUGUAUUAAUAACAUAGAGUAACAAAAUAAAAGAACCACCAAAUCUCAAUGGUUUACUCUCACUAAAGCAUUUAUUUUAAUUCAUUUUAUUUACAAGGUGCACUGCAGGAAUCAGGGAAAACUCUCCUAAAGGGAUGACACACAUUAAGGAAAAGUUAGAUUAAAGGUGAACACAUUUCGAAAAUAUCCUAUUCAUGAGGACGCAGGUUCAAUCCCUGGCCUUGCUCACUGGGUUAAGGAUCUGGCAUUGUCAUGAGCUGUGGUGUCAGUCACAGACAUGGCUUGGAUCUGGCAUUGCUGUGACUGUGGCAUAGGCCAGCGGCUACAACUCAGAUUGGACCCCUAGCCUGGAAACCUCCAUAUGUUGCGGGAAUGGCUCUAAAAAGACAGGAAAAAAAACCCAAAAACCCUAUCCUGCUCUUGCCUUUAGAGUGAGGGAAGAAUGUUUUGGAGUUCCCAUUGUGGCUCCCUAGGUUAAGAACCCAACAUAGUAUCCGUGAGAAUAUGAGAUCAAUCCCUGGCCUUGCUCAGUGGGUUAAGUAUCCAGCAUGCUGCAAACUGCGAUGUAGGUCAAAGAUGUGACUCAGAUCUGACUUUGCUGUGUCUGUGGUGCAGGCCGGUAGCUGUAGCUCCGAUUCAAUCCCUGUCCUGGGAACUUCCAUAUGCUGCAAGUGCGGCCAUAAAGAUAAGAAAAAAAAGAACGUUUCCCUUUUUGUCAGCCAUUCCCCUUCCCAAUCAAAAUUGAACUGAAAGGGAAAGAAAGGGCAUUCUGGAACAACUUCUGGAAUGAUGUUUCCAUUCAGUUGAAGAGUAGGCCUCAAGUCCUGCCCUUACCUUUAUAGAAAGCCACUGAAAGGUGGAAAAUGUCUUUGAAGUAGGGCUUGGAAUUGAGCAUCAUAUGGUCAGUCACACAGAGGUUACUAAUCACUUUCCUCUUUCUUAUUUUUCAGUGAACGAGAUAAUUGGGAGAGACAUGUCCCAGAUUUCAGUUUCCCAAGGAACAGGGGCGAGCAGGCAGGCUCCCCUCCCAGGUCCUGAUUCCCUGGAUUUAGGAAGAUCCGAUGGGCUCUGACAAUGCUCCUUGCAGCCUCAUGUCUACCACCGUGUGCUUCUCAGCAUGUUUCUCUCCUUGGACCUUGGGUUUCCAACUCUGUGACCUUCACGAUGGAGCCAGGAGUUGGGAUCACCGUAUGUGGGGAAAGCAGCAUUCCUCCAACUCAGGCCUUGGGUAGAUUUUGUAAAAGAGCAGGAGCAGCACAGGCUGUUAGAGCUUUGGGGAAAUGAGCUUUGCUUUUUAUAUUUAAAUAGGAUACUUUUAUAUGAUGGGUGCUUUGAGUGUGAAUGCAGCAGGCUCUCCAUUUCAGAGGUGCUGCUUUUGCAGGUGACCUGGUUGCUUAGCUAGGAUUGGUGAUUUGUACUGCGUAAUGGUCAUUUGAAGGACUCUUUAGCUUUGAUGAUAUUUUUAAAGUAGAAACUUUUGAUAAAACCUUCCGGAGGCAAACAUGAAAGAAAAAAAUUCUCCCAAGCCCACACCUAUGCCUCAGAAACUCAGCAUGUAUCCUGAAGCCUUUCAUAGAUUCAUAGGAAGUAAAGCCAAAUGUAGCUCAUACCUCUUUAUAAAAGUAAACUGUUAGAUAAAAUGAGAAGAGACCAUUCCAAUCAUAGGUAUUGGAAUAGAAACAUUCCAGAGCAUAGCCUUUUUGUAACUUUCUAGGUAAUCUUCCUGCAAUCUCUCCAUACUGUCUCCAUGUUGAAAUUGCUUUUUCCCUCAGGGCCUUGGGUAAGAUAACUAACUAUGCGUAAGGCAACUUGGAAAGGUGGGGUUUUUUUUUAGCUUGGUAGCUUUAAUUUCCUGCCAUCCUACAAACAGGUAGGCUGUGGAGUACUGUUCCAUUUUGUGUCCUUUGCUCCCAGACCUUUCCCAAGUGGGAGCAUCAGCAUUUGGCUGCCACAAUCUUAUGAUGGUUUAGGCAGUUUUGCUGGUUCUAGCUUAUCUCUAGAGGCCAGGCUGUGUCAGAAGCUAAGCACAAAUGAGCUAUGCUUCAAUACAGGAGCAGAGAAUAUGCAGGACUCCAGAUAGGAAGCUUUUAAGAUUCACACCGGCAUAGAAGACUUUUCCUUCCGUUUACAGCCUAAAAUGGUCUGGCCUACCCUGUCCCAUCUGCAUGGCCUAAAAAACAGCCUUUUUCCAAAAGGCCUUGAGGCAGAUUUAGAAAUUAUAUAGCAUCAUAAACCUGACCCUCCAUACCAAAGAUGCCCUGGUGCUGCUGCUGGUGAGACUGGUGCCCAAGGAGGGGCCAGCAAGAAUCUCCAGCCUGCUGUCUACCAAAGGAGCUGCCCGAUUUGGGUGCUCUUUUCAAACCCUGCCCUCAGACCUCCCCUUAAUAGAAUUAGCUUCUCGUUCCAAGGCUUUGGGCCUGUUUCAGAGCCCCUGAAGUUUGCAGUAUGUUUUCACAUAAAAUGUUCUACUUUUAUUCAGGAAGCAAAUUUUUUGAGUGCCUAUAUGAGACAGUGUGCUGAGCUGGUCAAAGUCUUGAUGCUCUUAUUGCAGGGGAUUGUGGGUCCUAGAUGCCAGUACUCUGCUGAGGCCAGUGGAGGGCGUCAGCUCAUUGCCCACCACCUCUGAUUAGCCAGUUAGCAGCUGUUGACCCAGGAAGAGGAAGUAUGGUCUUUAAAAAAAUAUAAACAGGAUGUUUUAGAUUCUCCCCUAAAACUAGUUAGGAAAAAUUGCCUAUCCAGAUCACUCUAGUCCCUCUUGGAGCCUGGUGUUUUCAUAUUUUCUUUGGAAGUGAGUUUUGUGUCAUGGAGUGUGAAUAGUGAGAUUUGCUUUGGGGCCUGUGGUUGGGAGCCCAGAGCUUCCUUUGGAGGGGUUGUGGGGGACUAGCCCCUGAGAUGAAGUUCCAGAGAGUUGGCCAGACUUCACCUCCACCCUCUUGCCCCUGGUGUAGCUGCCUCACAUGGGGUUCUUGCAAGAGCUCCCCUUGCAAGACCCUUUGGGGGUUGCUCUGCUGCCCUCAAGAAUAAAAGCCUCUAUGAUCCAGAGUUGCUAUGCACCAAAUUUUGAUGCCUUUUAAAUACCUUGAUGCCUGUAGCACUAGAAAUGCUUUCCUAUUUAAAAUAAAAGUUAAAUUUUAAAAUAGA
rnacentral:lncRNA from 1 species